rnacentral:rRNA from 1 species
GAUGAACGCUGGCGGCGUGCCUAAUACAUGCAAGUCGAGCGAACGGACGAGAAGCUUGCUUUUCUGAUGUUAGCGGCGGACGGGUGAGUAACACGUGGAUAACCUACCUAUAAGACUGGGAUAACUUCGGGAAACCGGAGCUAAUACCGGAUAAUAUUUUGAACCGCAUGGUUCAAAAGUGAAAGACGGUCUUGCUGUCACUUAUAGAUGGAUCCGCGCUGCAUUAGCUAGUUGGUAAGGUAACGGCUUACCAAGGCAACGAUGCAUAGCCGACCUGAGAGGGUGAUCGGCCACACUGGAACUGAGACACGGUCCAGACUCCUACGGGAGGCAGCAGUAGGGAAUCUUCCGCAAUGGGCGAAAGCCUGACGGAGCAACGCCGCGUGAGUGAUGAAGGUCUUCGGAUCGUAAAACUCUGUUAUUAGGGAAGAACAUAUGUGUAAGUAACUGUGCACAUCUUGACGGUACCUAAUCAGAAAGCCACGGCUAACUACGUGUCAGCAGCCGCGGUAAUACGUAGGUGGCAAGCGUUAUCCGGAAUUAUUGGGCGUAAAGCGCGCGUAGGCGGUUUUUUAAGUCUGAUGUGAAAGCCCACGGCUCAACCGUGGAGGGUCAUUGGAAACUGGAAAACUUGAGUGCAGAAGAGGAAAGUGGAAUUCCAUGUGUAGCGGUGAAAUGCGCAGAGAUGUGGAGGAACACCAGUGGCGAAGGCGACUUUCUGGUCUGUAACUGACGCUGAUGUGCGAAAGCGUGGGGAUCAAACAGGAUUAGAUACCCUGGUAGUCCACGCCGUAAACGAUGAGUGCUAAGUGUUAGGGGGUUUCCGCCCCUUAGUGCUGCAGCUAACGCAUUAAGCACUCCGCCUGGGGAGUACGACCGCAAGGUUGAAACUCAAAGGAAUUGACGGGGGCCCGCACAAGCGGUGGAGCAUGUGGUUUAAUUCGAAGCAACGCGAAGAACCUUACCAAAUCUUGACAUCCUUUGACAACUCUAGAGAUAGAGCCUUCCCCUUCGGGGGACAAAGUGACAGGUGGUGCAUGGUUGUCGUCAGCUCGUGUCGUGAGAUGUUGGGUUAAGUCCCGCAACGAGCGCAACCCUUAAGCUUAGUUGCCAUCAUUAAGUUGGGCACUCUAAGUUGACUGCCGGUGACAAACCGGAGGAAGGUGGGGAUGACGUCAAAUCAUCAUGCCCCUUAUGAUUUGGGCUACACACGUGCUACAAUGGACAAUACAAAGGGCAGCGAAACCGCGAGGUCAAGCAAAUCCCAUAAAGUUGUUCUCAGUUCGGAUUGUAGUCUGCAACUCGACUACAUGAAGCUGGAAUCGCUAGUAAUCGUAGAUCAGCAUGCUACGGUGAAUACGUUCCCGGGUCU